GAAUCAGCUCCUGUGCUUUCAAGGCUUGUUCUGGUCUCUUAGGAAGUAGCCAGGGAUGUGUUGCUAGAGGCAGGAUGCUUGACUUGAUGGGUCCAUCCACUGUUUUAUUAGUUGUAUUACACUGUAGCCUGUGCUAGGGUUUGUACAGACACUUUAUUAGAGAUCAUCCCUGUCCCAAAGAUUUUUGUUGGCUUUGUCUACUUAGGUUAUAAAGGAUGGAAAAGAGGAAGUAUCAGCAUUGCAGAUGGGAAACUGAGGUACAGAGAGCUGAAGACUGAAAUUUUCAAAGGAGCCCACUGGAGUUAGGUGAAGUUGGGAAGCCAGGGAGUCCAUGUUGCAAUGUGAGGAAGUUGGGGGCAAGAACUCUGAAGACAAGAUUGGCUGGUUUCGCUUCUCCCUCCUCACCCUGGAUCCCUUAUAGGAAUCACGGAUGGAUGAUUUGAGAUGAGCCUUAAAGGAAAGGAAAAUGUAUCUUUCUCUCCACCAGCAUCAACUGUAAGAGAGAAUUUGGGGCCUGAAAAUUAAAAGAUUUGCCCCAUCUCCGAUCUGCAUUACAAAGACUCUGAAGUUAUGUCCAGGAAAGGCUAUACUAAAAACAGGAUAGAUAAUAAAACUAGAUUGAAUGGA